AAUUAAAAAAUUGAUAAUAUAAGGGAAAAUAAUGAUAUUACCUUAUUAUUAGUGUCGUCCAAAACUGGUGCCAGAAGACUCGGUAAGGCCAGAGACAUAAACGUUAAUCGUCUUAAUCAGGCGUAAAGGGUUUGUAGGCGGCUUUUAAUUAAAUUAUAAAAAUUAAAAUAAUUUAAGAAUAAAAGCUAGAAUCAAAUAGAGGAUAUAUAAAAUAAUGCUUAGAGUAGGUCUGAUAUCCUUAGAUACUAAGUAGAAUAUUAAAGGCGAAAGCUUUUUUCCAUAAAUGAUUGACGCUCAGAAACGAAGGUGAGGAUAGGAAAUAGGAUUAGAUACCCAAAAUACCCCUCUCUGUCAACGAUGAAUGGUAAUUAUUAAUAAUAAAUUUAUUAUUAAUGGUAAUGUUAACACGAUAACCAUUCCGCCUUGUGAGUACAACUGCAAAGUUGAAAACAAA
rnacentral:rRNA from 1 species